rnacentral:lncRNA from 1 species
GUUUUUGCACAUUUUUCGAGAAAAUUCGUAUGAAUAGUGAAAUGCCACGUCACCCUCGUAUGCGAGGCUUCCACGUGUCGGACAGGUGUUCGCUUCUGAUUGGACCGCAGCCUUGCGUGUUGCCUUCUGAUUGGACCAAGCCCGAGGACCACUAAGCUCGGAACACCUUCGCAGGAGACACCCCUUGAUCACCCUCGCAUGCGCAACCCACCUGCGCACCGUCAGCGAGCCGAAGACCGAGCCGAUGACGCGCCAUCCUCGCUGUCCGAACCGAGCCUCGCUGGAGCCCUGCGCAGCUGCCGUGUGUCUUCGCUGAGUCACCCUUCUCGGCCGACCCUCGCAUCUGCUGCCGCGUGCAGCCUUCUCAGCCCUCAGAUCCGAGCCUCUCCCCUAUAAAUAGAGGGCCAGCGAGACCUCUCGGGUAGUAUGAGAAAUUUAGCAAUUUCACCCCCUUUUUCCAUAUUUUGACUAAUUUGACAUCCCCCGAAGCCCCGGUGUCACUUUUAACACCCGAAACACGCCCCGAAGUGCCGGGAAGCCCGAAAAAUUUAUCUUUUCGGUUUUGAAGCUCUACCUUUUUAGAGUCCGGUUUUUAGCUAAUUCUCCCGGUUUUCAACAAAUAAAGCCAUAUUUGGAGCCGAUAUGCUGCUCAAAUUACUAUUUUAACCCCCGAUUAUUUUAAGGUGAGUUCAAUAUAUAGGAACAAUUGUAUGUUAUGUGUUAUAUGUGCUAUGUGCUUUUCAGUGUUAUUAUUCCGGGUUAUUUUCCCGUGUUAUUUUUAUUCGCUAUUUUUAAUAGCAAAGUUAUACCUUUGACCAUGUGAUCAGUGAAAGGACUUAGAUUCACGAUGGUACUGGUAUGUAGCCUCUGGCCAUGUAGAACAUGUCUCGUAAGAGAAUGACUUCUAUUCUAUGGCAUUGGCAGAAGGUUAGAUAGGACUGGUAUGUAGCCUCUGACCAUGUAGAGCAUGACUCCGUAAGAGAAUGAACUCUAUUCUAUGGUAUUGGCAAAUGGUUAGACAGGGCUUUAAGCCUGAAAUCUACCAAAAUGUUAAUCCGAAGUUGUAUAUCUUCUGUGCCGUUUGGGCCAAAAGCUUUAUUGAUGUAUAUCAAGUAGUGAAAUUGUUAUGUCUCAUUGAUCGUAAAUCUUUGAAUCAAAUCUUGAGUUGAUAUUGAAAGCGUGACAUAUGAUACGCAUAUGCUAUUGUUGUUCUUGUUCCCUUUUGCUUCUGUCAUAUUGGUAUAUAUAAGGCAUAAGAUUAUAUUGUAUCUAUUUAUUGAAUUCACUAAGCGUUAUCGCUUAUCCCUCUCAAUGUUUAACAAUUGCAGGUGAUGAGUAUCCAAUUUAGUUUUAUACUGCUGAAAGAUUUAGAAUAGUUAAUACUAUUUCUCUGUAUUCUAAUGUUCAAGUAUGUAUAUGAAUAAUAGAUUCCUGGGUAGAUAUGAAAUGUAAUAAAACUUAGUCGGUUUGUAUCCAAUCUUUUGUAAUCACUUUAUCAAUAUAAAAUAUUGUUUUAUAAAUAUGCAUGUAGCAUGUUUUGAGGAAGUAACUUAAGAAUAAUGUUGAAAUAAUAUGAAAGUUUGGGUCUUUCAUAAAUACGAAAGUUGGGGUCUUUCAAUCAUGGUAUCAGAGCAAUGGUUUAAGUGAACUAAAUAUCACGGAUUGGUAUUUAGACUUAAACUGUUGGAAGCUCAAUAUAUGAGCUGAUUCAUAAUAAGUAUAUGGAUACAAACCAUAGGAAAUAUUUAAGUGGGGGAUUGGGUAGUGAUAAACCCUAGUAUUCUAAGAUAUUAAGUUACUUCAGAAUUUUAAGAAAAUUAGUUUAAGUGAACUAGAAAUUUUGAGAAUUUCUAAACUUAAACAAGAAUUGUUAAGUGAAGAUGAUACGAUAUGUAUCUGGUAUAUUUUAGGUUGAAUACCUAAUGGAAUCAAGCACUAGAAUAUUAAGAGGAGAUAUGCCUUAUAUUCUAAUAUGUGCUAAAUGAUAAAUGAAUAUAGCAUGCCUUAAGGUGCUUAUCUAUAAUUGCUAUUAUUUGAGAAAGCUUAAGGUCUGUUGCCGACCUUGGUUUAGAAAAUUUUAUGUUCAGAAUUCUAAGAAUUUUCGUAAUAGAAUUUUUCGAAGUGAUAAAGAGACUUAUGAUAGUUGACAUCGAUAAGUUUAUAAAUAAACGAUCGCGAGAUAUCGUAAAAUAAUAAAUAUGAAUUAUUAUCGUAAUAAGUGUAUUAAUGCCAAUAGAGUGGUAAUAUACAUUUAAAGUAUGUUUGAUAUAUAAUAACAUCUUUGGAAGAAAGAUGUGCGUUUGAAACACGUUUGGGCAAGACAAAUGUGUUGGUGCAAAUCCACGAAGUUGUUUCCACCGCUGUUUAGAUUGAAGCAGUGAUUGUUUAGAGAGUCAGAAGAACCGAAGAUGGCGGUCAAUACUUCAAUAGUAUCUCAAUUGAUGUGGUACAAGAUUAGAAGAAUUAAAUGAAGAUCAAAGGAAAGGCUGAUGAAGUUUUUCAGACUUAAUAGGCCAAGACUUUGUGAUGUAGUAAGUAGUUCGAGUAGUAACCCUAUAAAAGAUGUUCAGACUUAGUAUUUAAUAAUACUAAGUGAUGAUUGACUUCUAUCCCAUCCUUAUAGAAGUUCCAUUGUGUGUUAAGCCGACUUUAACAUACAAGAUUGGGAUGGUGAAUUGAGUCAUUUAAUGGUAAAUGGUUAAGCAACUUACUUGUUUAAGUAAGGUAGAAUGCUUAAUUGAAGAAGAAAUACACCCAUAGUAUCGUAUGAGAAGAGAUGUUGUAGUCAGGAAUGACAGAGAACCAAGUUGAAGCUAGUAGAGCUUGCUGAGAUGCAGCUAAGAUGCAGACUUCUUAGGAUAGACUCCUAUGAAGUAGACUUAGGCUUACUCAGAUAUAAGAAUCACGAUUUCAAGGAAGAAUAAUGAAAUGAACAAAUGUGCAUGAUGGUUUGCAUGAGUUAGAAGAUGAUGCAGGUAGUAGAAGACCGUUUGUCUCCAUGCUGCUAGAGUAAAUUUUGGAAUAGUGUGUCUUGUAGAGUAGACACUACUCGAGAAAGAAUUUAUAUGAAGAAAUGGAAGUAAAAUUUCUAUCGACCUAUGGAAAAGUAUUAGGAUAUAUUAAAGCGAGCAUAUGCAUGAGAAGAAUCCUAGAAGGCGAGUAUAGGUAAUCCAAUAUAUGUUUGAUAGAAACGUGAAAACCCUAGUUGAGUCUAGGAGAAACUGUUGUAUGUAUUUGUUUGAACACAUUCAUGUGUGAUAAGUUGCUUUGUGAAAACUUUUGAAUGGUGACUUGGGAACUGCGAGACAAUACUUGGGACGAGUAUGAGUAGGUGUGAAUAGUAGUAGAGGCCUAUACUACUGGAAGCACAGGACUCACACUUGGAUCAGGAAAAAUCACAAGGUUACCAAGAAGCUAGUAAAUGAUUUCGUUUUAUUCAUGUGUGUCGUUACCUUCGUUUCGGUAAUGACUAAGAAGAUAAUUAUCGUUCAAAUCUUAAUGUCAUAAAGAAUCGAGUCCGAUUAGUAUAAAUCCGCGAAAGGAGUUGAUUGGUUCAGAGAACCAUGUCUCAUAUAGUGACGAAACUUCAGUAGGAAUACUGAAGAAGUAAAUGGUCAAGGUAGUCGAUAGAAAUAUAAGGAUCUUCAUUAAAGAAUUGAGCAAUCAUUUGCCAGAGAUAUGACUUGCUAUGUGGUGUUACUGGACACAAGAAAUAUUUCUGCCCUACUCUUACUAGUCAAAUGGCAGGGAGUCAAGUUUCCAUUCAACAAUCAAAGAGUACUCAAACUAAAAAGGAGGAGGUACCAAAAGCUAAAAGAUAUGUAGGUUCGAAAGCACGAAUUAGAGAUACGUGGCGCUAUUCUUUCUAUUCCAAAGCAUCUACGUGUUGAUCAAACUCUUUUUGUUUUCGCUAUUCUAUCAGCUCGAUUUAUUCGAUCUGAUUCUAAUACAAGAGUUUGGAUCGUUAUGUGUCUUGUGCGAGAUAAAAUCAAAGGUCAUUAGAAUAAAACCAUUCGAGUUGCUGUUAUAGCAAAAGUAAAGACCUUAUCAUGGGUUUAGUCUAUAAACCAAGAAGGAGCAGGAGUCUGCAAUGAGAAUUGAGUUUUAACUCAAAGAUUAGGAUCGAAAGCCCAAUAGAGAAUGAUGAGCGGGUGCAGGUUUGAGCACCGCUAGUAAUUAAUAAGUUUGAAGAGUUUGACAAUCGUUUGGCAAACUAAAAGUUAAAUAUCGUACAUUUUAGAUUACUACAAAGGAAGUAAGUUAAAACUCGAAUGUUGUGACUAGUAAUUUUCUCGUAAACUCUAGAUUUACUCAAAUCUUAUUUGAUUUCAAUGCCUCGGAUUCUUUCGUGCCUUAUAAAUUCGCAUAUUCUCUUCAAAUUGCUUAUUACGCAAUUGUCCAAUCAUUUCAUAUAGAUAACAUAGGAAAUAUAUCAUUACUUGCUGAUAAAGCCUAUAAAGUUAGUAUUAUAGGAAUUGAAAGUUAUAAUCUUCCUGCUAACCUAAUUCCUAUCUUUGAUAUUAUUCUCGACAUGGAUUGGUUGUUAAAGAACCACGCAGAGCUCUUGUGCUACAAAGAGAUGAUAUGCAUCCCUAUCGAAAGGGAAGAUUCUAUUUAUGUCUACGGUGAAAAUAAUAAAUUUCUUUCUUAAAAACUCGUAAAUUAUGUCGAAGGGAUAUUCUACUUAUCCGGCUUAUACAGUUAAUACCUUGAAAGAGGAGAAGAAAACUGUGAAUGAUAACCUUUGGAUAAUUGUCGACAAGCUAACUACGAGUGCAUAUUUUCUCGCCAUACGUACAACGGUUCUAAUGGAGACAUAAGCACAAGUUUACUUAGACGAAAUUGUGGCGAGACAUGGUGCGCCACUAAAGAUUUUUUUCCGAUCGUGAUACUCGCUUCACUUCUCACUUUUGGGCGAGUAUGAAGAGUGAAUUGGGAUCUCGAAUUACCCAACACAACUUGUCAUCCUCAGACAAAUGAUCAGAAGAAGAGAGCAAUCCAAAUAGUAGAAAAUAUACUGAAGGUAUAUAAAGUACUAUAUGAGCAUAAAUGUCAUACUCAAAUAUGUUGGCGUAACCUAGGACAGAAGAUCUUUGGAGGAUCUGAAAUGAUUCAAGACAUCAUUGACAAGAUACAAAUUUUUCGAGAAAGAAUGAAAGCGGCCCAGGAUCGACAAAUGCCCUAUGCAGAAAGGAGGAGACGACCCGUAGAAUUCCGGGUGGAUGAUUUAGUAAUACUGAAGUUAUUUCAUGAGAAGGCAUUAUACUGCUUGGAAUUGCCUGAAGAUUUGACAGAUAUUCAUGAAAUGUUUCAUGUGAGCUAUCUGUGUAAAGGUUUAAGCAUAUAUGAUGAAAGGGUUCUAUUAUCAGAGGUGAAACUGGAUAAUAAGUUAAGUAGAAGAGAUCGUAAAUGAAAGAACGACUAAUCUACAUAAUAAAGAUGUAGAGUUGGUGAUUUUCAUAUAGAAACACCGUCGAGGCUCAAAUUAUACUUGGGAAAAGUAAGAAUGAAAUAAGAGUGAAGUAUCCCUAAUUGUUUUAAUCGUUAUGAUUUCGGGGACGAAAUCCUCAAAAGGAGGAGGUAUUUGUAACAUACACGUUCUGAAAUUGUGUAUUGUUAUUAUUAAAAGUGAAUAAAAUUGAGUGUUGAGUUCUAACAGCUAGUUUUUACUAGAAAUGAAGUAAAACUAUGUUUAGAAUCACUCAUAAAAUGUUGGAAGUCUUAUGAGAUUCCAAUUAAUAGCCAAAUCAUGAAAAUUUAGCGAAAAUAUAAAAUUUGAAAUAAGUAAAAUUUUAUUAUUGAAAGUUGUAGAUAAUCUCGUUAGAAACAUUUAGGCGAAAACCUCAUCGAAAUCCGAGUUAUAACGAAGAAGUUAUGACCAAACGAAGAUCCGUGAUAAAUCCGGAAAAUACCUUGUCGCGUAAAAAUUUAGUUUUCGAUAAACUAAUUUUUAGCCUUAGUAAUGUAAAUGAAAGUUGUAGAACUCGUGAAAAUAAUCAACUUUCAUAUAAAGACCGUUUGAAUCUGACUUCGUAUGAGGAAGUUAUGAUUUUUCGAAGUUUCAGCUUAGCAGUAGACAGCUAAAAACUCGAAUUUUAGAUCGAGUGAUUUUUAGCCGACACAACCUAAACGAGAAUUGAAGGUCUCGUCAUUAGUAGUGCAACGGUAAAAAGUCUGACGAAAACGGACGUCGGAUGAAGAAGUUAUGAAUUUUUAACGGAUUUUCCUGUCCCGGUCUGUUAAAAAUAAUAAUAUUAAAAUUAAAGUCAAAAUUAGCCGACGAAGUCUAAACGAAAGUUGUAGAGCAUAAUUCUAGCUUCGCGUGCAUAUAAAGAACGUCAAAAACGGAGCUCGUAUGCGAAAGUUAUGGAUUUUAGAAGUUUUUGCACAUUUUUCGAGAAAAUUCGUAUGAAUAGUGAAAUGCCACGUCACCCUCGUAUGCGAGGCUUCCACGUGUCGGACAGAUGUUCGCUUCUGAUUAGACCGCAGCCUUGCGUGUUGCCUUCUGAUUGGACCAAGCCGAGGACCACUAAGCCCGGAGCACCUUCGCAUGAGACACCCCCUUGAUCACCCUCGCAUGCGAGACCCACGUGCGAGCCACCUGCUGUCCGAGCCGAAGACCGAGCCGAUGACGCGCCUGAAGCUGAUGACUCCUCGCAUCCGAGCCUCGCUGGAGCCCUGCGAAGCUGCCAUCUGGUCCGAACCUCGCAGCCACC